GCGGAGGAAAAGAAACCAACAGGGAUUGCCCUAGUAACGGCGAGUGAAGCGGCAACAGCUCAAAUUUGAAAUCUGGCUUCGGCCCGAGUUGUAAUUUGCAGAGGAAGCUUUAGGCGCGGCACCUCCUGAGUCCCCUGGAACGGGGCGCCACAGAGGGUGAGAGCCCCGUAUAGUUGGAUGCCUAGCCUGUGUAAAGCUCCUUCGACGAGUCGAGUAGUUUGGGAAUGCUGCUCAAAAUGGGAGGUAAAUUUCUUCUAAAGCUAAAUACCGGCCAGAGACCGAUAGCGCACAAGUAGAGUGAUCGAAAGAUGAAAAGCACUUUGAAAAGAGGGUUAAAUAGCACGUGAAAUUGUUGAAAGGGAAGCGCUUGUGACCAGACUUGCGCCGGGCUGAUCAUCCGGUGUUCUCACCGGUGCACUCUGCCCGGCUCAGGCCAGCAUCGGUUCUCGCGGGGGGAUAAAGGCCCUGGGAACGUAGCUCCUCCGGGAGUGUUAUAGCCCGGGGCGCAAUGCCCUCGCGGGGACCGAGGUUCGCGCUCUGCAAGGAUGCUGGCGUAAUGGUCAUCAGCGACCCGUCUUGAAACACGGACCAAGGAGUCAAGGUUUUGCGCGAGUGUUUGGGUGUAAAACCCGCACGCGUAAUGAAAGUGAACGUAGGUGAGAGCUUCGGCGCAUCAUCGACCGAUCCUGAUGUUCUCGGAUGGAUUUGAGUAGGAGCGUUAAGCCUUGGACCCGAAAGAUGGUGAACUAUGCUUGGAUAGGGUGAAGCCAGAGGAAACUCUGGUGGAGGCUCGCAGCGGUUCUGACGUGCAAAUCGAUCGUCAAAUCUGAGCAUGGGGGCGAAAGACUAAUCGAACCAUCUAGUAGCUGGUUACCGCCGAAGU
rnacentral:rRNA from 1 species